GGUUUAAUUCGAUGCAACGCGAAAACCUUACCCACCUUUGACAUGGCAGGAAUCCUAAAGAGAUUUGGGAGUGCUCGAAAGAGAACCUGCACACAGGUGCUGCAUGGCUGUCGCCAGCUCGUGUCGUGAGAUGUUGGGUUAAGUCCCGCAACGAGCGCAACCCUUGCCAUUAGUUGCUACGAAAGGGCACUCUAAUGGGACUGCCGGUGACAAACCGGAGGAAGGUGGGGAUGACGUCAAGUCCUCAUGGCCCUUAUGGGUAGGGCUUCACACGUCAUACAAUGGUCGGUACAGAGGGUUGCCAACCCGCGAGGGGGAGCUAAUCCCACAAAGCCGAUCGUAGUCCGGAUCGCAGUCUGCAACUCGACUGCGUGAAGUCGGAAUCGCUAGUAAUCGUGGAUCAGCAUGUCACGGUGAAUACGUUCCCGGGUCUU
rnacentral:rRNA from 1 species